GACGUAGGGGGCAAGCGUUGUCCGGAAUUAUUGGGCGUAAAGCGCUCGUAGGCGGAUCGGUAAGUCUGUGAAGAAAGACCCGGGCUCAACUCGGGGAACGGCAUAGAUACUGCUGAUCUUGAGACAGUCAGAGGAUGAUGGAAUUCCAGGUGUAGCGGUGAAAAUGCGUAGAUAUCUGGAGGAACACCAGUGGCGAAGGCGAUCAUCUGGGGCUGUUCUGACGCUGAGGAGCGAAAGCUAAGGGGAGCAAACGGG
rnacentral:rRNA from 1 species